AGUCGAACGGCAGCACGGGAGCAAUCCUGGUGGCGAGUGGCGAACGGGUGAGUAAUAUAUCGGAACGUGCCCAGUCGUGGGGGAUAACGCAGCGAAAGCUGUGCUAAUACCGCAUACGAUCUAUGGAUGAAAGCGGGGGACUCGCAAGAGCCUCGCGCGAUUGGAGCGGCCGAUAUCAGAUUAGCUUGUUGGUGGGGUAAAAGCCCACCAAGGCGACGAUCUGUAGCUGGUCUGAGAGGACGACCAGCCACACUGGAACUGAGACACGGUCCAGACUCCUACGGGAGGCAGCAGUGGGGAAUUUUGGACAAUGGGCGCAAGCCUGAUCCAGCAAUGCCGCGUGCAGGAUGAAGGCCUUCGGGUUGUAAACUGCUUUUGUACGGAACGAAACGGCUCUUUCUAAUAAAGAGGGCUAAUGACGGUACCGUAAGAAUAAGCACCGGCUAACUACGUGCCAGCAGCCGCGGUAAUACGUAGGGUGCGAGCGUUAAUCGGAAUUACUGGGCAUAAAGCGUGCGCAGGCGGUUAUAUAAGACAGAUGUGAAAUCCCCGGGCUCAACCUGGGACCUGCAUUUGUGACUGUAUAGCUAGAGUACGGUAGAGGGGGAUGGAAUUCCGCGUGUAGCAGUGAAAUGCGUAGAUAUGCGGAGGAACACCGAUGGCGAAGGCAAUCCCCUGGACCUGUACUGACGCUCAUGCACGAAAGCGUGGGGAGCAAACAGGAUUAGAUACCCUGGUAGUCCACGCCCUAAACGAUGUCAAUUGGUUGUUGGGUCUUCACUGACUCAGUAACGAAGCUAACGCGUGAAGUUGACCGCCUGGGGAGUACGGCCGCAAGGUUGAACUCAAAGGAAUUGACGGGGACCCGCACAGCGGUGGAUGAUGUGGUUUAUUCGAUGCAACGCGAAAACNUACCACCUUUGACAUGUAC
rnacentral:rRNA from 1 species